GAAGGAAGAUGGCAGCGUCCUGAGUCCUGAGUGAAGAGAGCAUAGAGUCGAGUAGCCACGGCACCGGAUUGGGAAAAUUAAACAGCAACCGUUUGCAUUGGAGGGAGGGGGGUAGAGGGACUGAAAAAAUUGCAACUUGUAGCGGCUAUCCAGUUCAUGCCAGAAGAUGAAUAUCCUCAAAGACAACAAAGACUUGGCCUGUUUCUACACGACAAAACACUCUUGGAGGGGAAAGUAUAAAAGAGUCUUUUCUGUUGGAACCCACGGCAUCACCACUUACAACCCCGCCACGUUAGAAGUUACCAAUCAGUGGCCUUAUGGGGACAUCUGCGGGAUCACCCCGGUGGGGAAGGGCCAGGGCACGGAGUUCAGCCUCACGUUCCGCAAGGGCAGCGGGAAGAAGUCGGAGACGCUCAAGUUCUCCACCGAGCACAGGAUGGAGCUGCUCACGGAGGCGCUGAGAUUCCGAACGGAUUUCUCGGAGGGCAAGAUAACUGGCAGGCGCUACAACUGUUACAAGCACCACUGGAGCGACUCGCGGCGGUUGGUGGUCCUGGAGGUCACCCCGGGGGGCAUCGACCAGAUCGACCCGCAGACCAACCGCUUGCUGUGCUCCUACGACUACCGAUCGGUGGAGGGCUUCGUGGAAGUCUCCGACUACCAGGGGGGCUUCUGCAUCCUCUACGGGGGCUUCAGCCGGUUGCACCUCUUCGCCUCGGAGCACCGGGACGAGAUCAUCCGCAGCGCGGUGGAGCACGCCGGGAACUUCAUCGGCAUCACGCUGCGGCUGCGCAAGGAGGCGCUCACCUUCGAGGGCUUCGCCGCCGAGCGCUUCGGCAAGUACGGCGCGGACGACUGCAUCACCUCGCUGGCCGAGUUCGUCGUGCAGAAGAUCUCCCCCCGGCACACGGAGCCGGCGAAGAGGAUCCUGGCUCUCACGGAGACCUGUCUGGUGGAGAGGGACCCAGCCUCCUACAACAUCGUCACAAUCAAGCCCUUCGAAGAGGUGUUUGCGCUCGUCUGUGAUGCAGACAACCCCCAGGUCUUCACUGUGGAGUUCAUCAGGGGGCAGAUCAGAAAGUACUCUUCCACAGAAAGAGACUCCCUGAUGGCCAGCCUGCUGGACGGGGUGCGGGCAUCUGGGAACCGGGACGUGUGUGUGAAGAUGGCCCCCACGCAGAGGGGCCAGCGCUGGGGGCUGCUCAGCAUGCCGGUGGACGAGGAGGUGGAGAGCCUGCACCUCAAGUUCCUGGCUGCACCCCCCAAUGGAAACUUUGGGGACGCGGUGUUCAGAUUCAACGCCAACAUCUCCUACAGCGGCGUGCUCCACGCCGUCACGCAAGACGGCCUUUUCUCAGAGAACAAGGAGAAGCUGAUCAACAACGCCAUUCUGGCCCUGCUUUCCCAGGAGACGGAGCUGCCGGGGCCCAACGCCGAGCUGGAGAGCCACUUCCAGGCCAUCCGCCGGCUGGUGGCCUCCAAGGCCGGCUUCCAGGCCUUCACCCAGCUCCCCAAGUCUGGUCAGGUGGCUGGACCCUCGGGCGGAACGUUCCGGGAGAAGCUGGGGGUGAAAACGGUCAAGGCUCUGAAAAGGAACAACAACGGGGUGACGCACGCUGCCAUUGACAUGCUCUGCGCCCUCAUGUGUCCGAUGCAUGAUGACUAUGACCUGCGUCAGGAGCAGCUGAACAAGGCCUCCCUACUCUCCUCCAAGAAAUUCCUGGAGAACCUUCUGGAGAAGUUCAUCAGUAAUGUGGAGCACGGCACCGGUGCACUGGUGAUCAGCUCACUUCUGGACUUCCUGACCUUCUCCCUGUGCGCCCCUUACAGCGAGACCAGCGAGGGCCAGCAGUUCGACAUGCUGCUGGAGAUGGUGGCCUCUAACGGCCGAACCCUCUUCAAGCUCUUCCAGCACCCUUCCAUGGCCAUUGUGAAGGGAGCAGGCCUGGUCAUGAAGGCCAUCAUUGAGGAGGGGGACAAGGAGAUCGCCACGAAAAUGCAGGAGCUGGCUUUGAGCGAGGGAGCCCUUCCCCGACACCUGCACACCUCCAUGUUCACCAUCAGCUCCGACCAGAGGAUGCUCACCAACAGGCAGCUGAGCCGCCACCUGGUGGGACUGUGGACUGCAGAGAACCCCAUCGCCAUGAACCUGCUGAAGAGGAUACUGCCGACAGGUUUGCUGGCAUACCUGGACAGCACCGAGUCAGUGCCUGAGAGAGAUGUGGACAGGAUGCACAUCAGAGACAACCUCAAGAUUGCCACGGACCAGUUUGGACGAAACAAGGUGCCCGAAUGGCAGAGGCUGGCGGGCAAGGCGGCCAAGGAGGUGGAGAAGUUUGCCAAGGAGAAGGCGGACAUCGUGCUGAUGCACUGGAGGGACAAGAUGGGCAUAGCACAGAAGGAGCAGGACAGGAAUAACCUGAACCCAAACCAAAAACCGGUCAUCCUGAGGAAGAGGAGACAGAGGAUCAAGAUCGAAGCCAACUGGGAGCUUUUCUACUAUCGGUUCCAGCUGGAUCACGCAAGGUCCAAUCUGAUCUGGAACCUGAAGACCCGUGAGGAGCUGCGGGAUGCCCUGGAGGGGGAGAUGCGCGCCUUCAGCGUGGACCGGGAGCUGGGCUGCACCAACGUCAUCUCCUGGAACCACCAGGAGUUUGAGGUGAAAUAUGAGUGCCUUUCAGACGAAAUUAAGAUUGGAGAUUAUUACCUACGUCUGCUGCUGGAAGAGGAUGAGAGCGAGGAGUCCGGGGCCAUCAAGAGAUCGUACGAGUUUUUCAACGAGCUGUACCACCGGUUCCUGCUCACGCCCAAGAUCCACAUGAAGUGUCUGUGCCUACAGGCCCUGACCAUCGUCUAUGGGAAGUGCUUUGAGGAGAUCGGGCCCUUCACCGACACCAAGUACAUUGUAGGCAUGCUGGACCGGUGUACAGACCGGCUGGAGCGAGACAGACUCAUCCUCUUCCUCAACAAACUCAUUCUCAACAAGAAAAACGUGAAGGAGGUCAUGGACUCCAACGGAGUGCGCAUUCUAGUGGAUCUGCUGACCCUGGCGCACCUGCACACCAGCCGAGCCACCGUCCCACUCCAGAGCAACGUGAUAGAAGCAUCACCGGAUAUGAAGAGGGACAGUGAGAAGGAGUGGUACUUCGGCAACGCCGACAAGGAAAGGAGGGGCCCCUACAGCUUUGAGGAGAUGCAGGAGUUCUGGAGCCAGGGGACACUGACGGCGAAGACGCGGUGCUGGGCGCAGGGCAUGGACGGGUGGCGCCCCCUGCAGGCCAUCCCGCAGCUGAAGUGGUGCCUUCUGGCCAGCGGGCAGGCGGUGAUGAACGAGACGGACCUGGCCACGCUCAUCCUCAACAUGCUGAACACCAUGUGCUCCUACUUCCCCAGCAGGGACCAGGAUAAUGCCAUCAUUCGCCCUCUUCCUCGGGUCAAGAGACUAAUCAGUGACAACACCUGUCUCCCUCACAUUGUCCAGCUGCUGCUCACAUUUGACCCCAUCCUGGUGGAGAAGGUGGCAAACCUGAUGUAUCAGGUGAUGCAAGACAACCCCAACCUGCAGCGCCUCUACCUCACCGGAGUCUUCUUCUUCAUCAUGAUGUACACUGGCUCCAACGUGCUGCCUGUUGCCCGGUUUCUGAAGUACACUCACCUAAAACAAGCCUUCAAGUCUGAAGAGGCCAAAGGUCAGGACAUUGUCCAGCGUAGCGUGCUGGGUCCGGUGCUGCCAGAGGCUAUGGUGUGUUACCUGGAGAAUUACGAGGCCGAGCGCUUUUCCGAGAUCUUCCUGGGCGAGUUUGACACCCCCGAGGCCAUCUGGAGCAGCGAGAUGAGGAGGAUGAUGAUAGAGAGGAUCGCCGCCCACCUGGCCGAUUUCUCCCCGCGGCUGCAGAGCAACACGCGGGCGCUCUACCAGUACUGCCCCAUCCCCGUGGUCAGCUUCCCCCAGCUGGACAACGAGCUCUUCUGCAACAUCUACUACCUCAGACACCUGUGCGACGCCAACCGCUUCCCCAACUGGCCAAUCCGAGAGCCGGUGAAGCUGCUGAAAGACACCCUGGAGGCCUGGAAGAGGGAGGUGGAGAAGAAGCCGCCCUCCAUGUCUGUGGACGAUGCCUUCGAGGUCCUCAACCUCCCCAAGGGACAGGGCCAGCAUGAGGAGAGCAAGAUCAGGAAAGCCUACUUCCGCCUGGCUCAGAAAUACCAUCCAGACAAGAACCCAGAGGGCCGGGACAUGUUUGAGAAGGUGAACAAGGCCUACGAGUUUCUGUGCACCAAGUCGGCGCGCAUCACAGACGGGCCCGACCCAGAGAACAUAAUCCUCAUCCUCAAGGCCCAGAGCAUCCUCUUUAACAGGCACCGGCAAGAGCUGGAGCCCUACAAGUACGCCGGCUACCCCAUGCUCAUCAAGACCAUCACCAUGGAGACGGGCGACGGGCAGCUCUUCUCCAAGACCUCCCCGCUGCUCCCUGCCGCCGCCGAGCUGGCCUUCCACACGGUCAACUGCUCCGCCCUCAACGCCGAGGAGCUGAGGAGAGAGAGCGGCAUCGAGGUGCUGUUGGAGGCUCUGUCUCGCUGCGUCGCCGUGCUCACUGCCUCCAGCAAGCCCAACGACAUGGCCGUGCAGGUGUGCGGGCACAUCUGUAAAUGCUACAGCGUGGCCGCCCAGUUCGAGGAGUGCAGGGAGAAGAUCAUCGAGCUUCCCAACAUCAUCCGAGACCUUUGCCAUGUGCUCUAUUAUGCAAAGGGCCUCCCCCGCCUGGCAGCCCUGGCGGUGCAGUGCAUCAGCUCCUUCGCCGUGGACUUCUUCCUGCAGACGCACCUCUACCACGCCGGCGUCCUCUGGCACCUGCUGGUCAACCUCUUCAACUACGACUACACGCUGGAGGAGAGCGGCAUCCAGAAGAGCCAGGACACCAACCAGCAGGAGGUGGCCAACAGCCUGGCCAAGCUGAGCCUGGUGGCCCUCAGCCGGCUGGGCGGCUACAGCCCCGGCCCCAGCCCCGAGGAGGAGGGGGCCAACGGCGUGGACGGGACCCCUCCAGAGAACCCCACCGUCCGGAAGAGUCUGUCCGCCAUGCUGACGCCCUACAUCUCCCGGAAGCUGGGCUCCAGCUCCCCCGCUGAGGUCCUGAAGCUGCUGAACAGUAACUCGGAGAACCCCUACCUGAUCUGGAACAACGGCACUCGGGCCGAGCUGCUGGAGUUCCUGGAGGAACAGCAGGAGAGCAACAUCAAGAGGGGCGAGUGCGACAAGAACUUUGGGUCAGAAUUCAUUUUCACCGACCACGGCAAGGAGCUGAUCGUGGGCGAGAUCUUCGUCAGAGUCUACAACGAGCAGCCAGCCUUUCCCCUAGAGUUCCCCAAGGCGUUUGCGGCCAGCCUGCUGGAUUACGUGGGCUCCCAGGCUCAGUACCUGUACACCCUGCUGGCUAUGACCCAGGCCAGCAAGGUGGAGUCCCAGCAGCACGCACAGAGGCUCCGCUGGGCCGAAAUGGCCCUGGAGGCCCUCCGCAACGUCAUCAAGAACAACCCGGGCUCGGAGUCGGAGUGCAUCGGCCACUUCAAGCUGCUGUUCUCUCUGCUGCGGGUCCAUGGAGCAGGAAAGGUCCAGCAGCUGGCUCUCGAGGUGGUGAACACGGUCACCAUGAACCAGGAAUGCGUCAGCAGCAUCGGCGACUCCCUGGUGCUCUCCAACCUCCUGGUGCUGCUCCACUCCAUGCCCUCCAGCCGACAGCUGGUGCUGGAAACCCUGUAUGCCUUGACGUCCAACACUAAAAUUAUCAAAGAGGCCAUGGCUAAAGGUGCACUGAUCUACCUGCUGGACCUCUUCUGUAACUCCACCCACCCCCAGGUGCGCAGUCAGACUGCCGAGCUCUUUGCCAAGAUGACCUCCGACAAGCUGGUGGGGCCCAAGGUGCGCCUGACGCUCAUGCGCUUCCUUCCGGGCGUGUUCAUGGAGGCCAUGCGGGACAACGCUGAGGCGGCAGUGCACAUCUUUGAGGGAACGCACGAAAACCCCGAGCUCAUCUGGAACGACAGCUCCCGGGAAACCGUCUCCACCACCGUCCGAGAGAUGAUGCUGGAGCACUUUAAACAGCAAAAGGAUAAUCCUGAUGUCAACUGGAAACUUCCAGAAGACUUCACGGUGGCGUACGGGGCAGGGCAGGGUGAGCUGGCCGUGGGCGGAGUCUUCCUGCGCAUCUUCAUUGCGCAGCCAGGCUGGGUGCUGCGCAAACCUCGGGAGUUCCUGGUGUCUCUGCUGGAGACCCUGACUGAGCUGCUGGAGAAGAACAACCCCAACGGCGAGGCCUUGGAAACGGUAACCACGGCGGCAGUGUGUCUCUUCAGCACUCAGACCCAGCUGGCCGAUCAGGUCCCUCCCCUGGGCCACCUGCCCCGCGUUCUGGCAGCACUCAACCACAAGAACAACGCCGUGCCCAAGAGCUCCAUCCGCCUCAUCCACGUGCUCUCCGACAACGAGCUGUGCGUUCGCUCCAUGGCCGCCUUGGAGACCAUCGGGCCCCUGAUGACCGGGAUGAAAGUGCGGGCCGACAUGGCAGGGCUAGCUUGUGAGGCGCUCAACAGAAUGUUCCAGAAGGAGCAGACUGACCUUGUGGCACAGGCCCUGAGGGUGGAGCUUGUGCCCUACCUGCUCCGCCUACUAGAAGGGGUGGGGCUGGAGACGCUGGACAACCCCUCUGCCACCAAAGCGCAGAUCGUCAAGGCCCUGAAGUCCAUGACGCGCAGCUUGCAGUAUGGAGACCAGGUGAACGAAAUCCUCUCUCGUUCCACUGUGUGGAGUGCCUUCAAAGACCAGAAACAUGACCUCUUCAUCUCCGAUUCUCAGACUGCUGGGUAUCUCACAGGUGUGUCGACCCCCUCCCUCCUGGCCGCCAGCAGCCCCCUGCGAAGCGGGCUGUAGACGCCGUGGCGGGGGGCCUCCUUGCCCUCCUCUCUCUUACUCUGGCGCAGGUCCAGGAGUAGCGGGCUACCUAACGGCUGGGACAGGCUCCACGGUCAUGCCCAGCGUACCACCGCCCGUGGACAAUGACAUCGGGGACCUGGGCUGACGGACAGACGGACGGACAGACCGAUGCACCCAAGCAGAGAGACUGCCCCGCGUACCUAGGAUGCAGCUCCGUUCAGACUGUACAGCACAGAGAAAGAUGGGAAGAGGACGGGGGGGGCAGGGACCGGCUCACAGACUCACGAAGACUGUCCCCGCCCCCCACACCCCCCAACAAAAUGUCCUCCAAACAGCACCCGCUCUCUUCUUUAGCAUUAUUUUUGUUAAUUUUAAAUAAAUGGCACUUUUUUGCGCUGUUUUUUUUUUUUUUGUUCUUUCCUCCUUUGUUUCCAACAAGAUGAGCAUAGUUUACUUUUGUAUUAAUAUAUUUUUUACUCUUUUUUUGUGCGUGUGAAAUAUCAACCGAAGACUGAAGAUGUCAUCAUAUGUUGGACCUGACUCCCUCUUUCUCUUCCUCCGCUUACGGCUCUGAGAGACUGCCCUACCCUGACCAGUACCACCUAGCCACGCCCUGAUUUUGCAGGAAGUGCCCAGCCUAGCUGUAUGCAGUGGAUCCAGGCAACUUUUCUUUUUUUUUUUUCUUACAGUACUUAAAACAUGAUGUUUGUCGGUUUACAAGACUGUGGUCCUGAUAUGAAUCAUUUUCCUAAUUUUUUUUAUAUUGUUGUUUUAUAGUGUUGUAUGGAAAAGAAAAAGAAAUUCUCACAGCUGUGGUAUUUUAUUGCCGUUACCUUGUUCUGGCAAGAGCUAGACGGAGCGGAGUGUUUAGUCAGAAUGGACGUCUAGACUGGCCCUUGUCUGCUCAGCUCUGGGCGUGGUGGACGCUGCUCUGUUGGCAGUUUCUCAUCCAUGUUAUACUUGUGAUCAAGUUCUGCACUUCUUUACUGUCGCUCUGUCCUUUCCUCUAUAAACAAAACCUUUCGUACAUUGUUUUCCUUCUCCAGACCGCAAAAAGCACUAGAAUAUUUAUACCUAGUUAAUAAUGACCUUUACAAACAAGCUUCAGCAGAGACAAAAAAGAGGAACAAUAAUAUCAACUCUGAUUAUAAAACUAUGUGAACGACUAGUGCAAUUGUGAAAUGUUCAUGUAAUAUGCCGUAUAUAAACUUUCUAUAUUGAAUGUACAUUUAAAAAAAUAAAUCGGUCGCACUUGUACAUAAAAUUUUAAGAAUAAACAAAGGGAAUCCAUAGUA